rnacentral:rRNA from 1 species
GACGUAGGGCGCGAGCGUUGUCCGGAUUUAUUGGGCGUAAAGAGCUCGUAGGCGGCUUGUCGCGUCGUCCGUGAAAACUUGGGGCUCAACCCCAAGCUUGCGGUCGAUACGGGCAGGCUAGAGUUCGGUAGGGGAGACUGGAAUUCCUGGUGUAGCGGUGAAAUGCGUAGAUAUCAGGAGGAAUACCGAUGGCGAAGGCAGGUCUCUGGGCUGACACUGACGCUCAUGCACGAAAGCGUGGGGAGCAAACAGG